rnacentral:rRNA from 1 species
GACGAACGCUGGCGGCAUGCCUAACACAUGCAAGUCGAGCGAGCUGAUUCCUUCGGGAUGAAGCUAGCGGCGGACGGGUGAGUAACACGUGGGCAACCUGCCUCAUAGAGGGGAAUAGCCUUCCGAAAGGAAGAUUAAUACCGCAUAAGAUUGCAUCUUCGCAUGAAGAAGCAAUUAAAGGAGCAAUCCGCUAUGAGAUGGGCCCGCGGCGCAUUAGCUAGUUGGUGAGGUAACGGCUCACCAAGGCGACGAUGCGUAGCCGACCUGAGAGGGUGAUCGGCCACAUUGGGACUGAGACACGGCCCAGACUCCGACGGGAGGCAGCAGGGGGGAAUAGUGCACAAUGGGGGAAACCCUGAUGCAGCAAUGCCGCGUGAGUGAUGACGGCCUUCGGGUUGUAAAGCUCUGUCUUCGGGGACGAUAAUGACGGUACCCGAGGAGGAAGCCACGGCUAACUACGUGCCAGCCGCCGCGGUAA